rnacentral:piRNA from 1 species
UCAGAAGUCACCAGGCUGGUUCAUAUUGAU